rnacentral:rRNA from 1 species
GACGAACCGUGCGAACGUUGUUCGGCUUCACUGGGCUUAAAGGGCGCGUAGGCGGCUUGCCAAGUCAGGGGUGAAAUCUUUCGGCUCAACCGGAAAAGUGCUUCUGAUACUGGCGGGCUGGAGGAGGGUAGGGGCAGAUGGAACUUCCGGUGGAGCGGUGAAAUGCGUAGAGAUCGGAAAGAACACCAACGGCGAAAGCACUCUGCUGGGCCGACACUGACACUGAGAGACGAAAGCUAGGGGAGCGAAUGGG